rnacentral:rRNA from 1 species
AUUGAACGCUGGCGGCAUGCCUUACACAUGCAAGUCGAACGGGGGUAGCAAUACCCUAGUGGCGAACGGGUGAGUAAAGCAUCGGAACGUACCCAGUUGUGGGGGAUAACGUAGCAAAAGUUACGCUAAUACCGCAUACGCACUGAGGUGGAAAGCGGGGGACCUUUGGGCCUCGCGCAAUUGGAGCGGCCGAUGUCGGAUUAGCUAGUUGGUGAGGUAAAAGCUCACCAAGGCGACGAUCCGUAGCUGGUCUGAGAGGAUGAUCAGCCACACUGGGACUGAGACACGGCCCAGACUCCUACGGGAGGCAGCAGUGGGGAAUUUUGGACAAUGGGCGAAAGCCUGAUCCAGCCAUGCCGCGUGAGUGAAGAAGGCCUGCGGGUUGUAAAGCACUUUCAGUUGGGAAGAUAAUGACGUUACCAACAGAAGAAGCACCGGCUAACUCCGUGCCAGCAGCC